AUUGAACGCUGGCGGCAGGCUUAACACAUGCAAGUCGAGCGGAGAGAGGUAGCUUGCUACUGAUCUUAGCGGCGGACGGGUGAGUAAUGCUUAGGAAUCUGCCUAUUAGUGGGGGACAACAUUUCGAAAGGAAUGCUAAUACCGCAUACGUCCUACGGGAGAAAGCAGGGGAUCUUCGGACCUUGCGCUAAUAGAUGAGCCUAAGUCGGAUUAGCUAGUUGGUGGGGUAAAGGCCUACCAAGGCGACGAUCUGUAGCGGGUCUGAGAGGAUGAUCCGCCACACUGGGACUGAGACACGGCCCAGACUCCUACGGGAGGCAGCAGUGGGGAAUAUUGGACAAUGGGCGGAGGCCUGAUCCAGCCAUGCCGCGUGUGUGAAGAAGGCCUUAUGGUUGUAAAGCACUUUAAGCGAGGAGGAGGCUACUUUAGUUAAUACCUAGAGAUAGUGGACGUUACUCGCAGAAUAAGCACCGGCUAACUCUGUGCCAGCAGCCGCAGUAA
rnacentral:rRNA from 1 species